GACGAACGCUGGCGGCGUGCUUAACACAUGCAAGUCGAACGGAAAGGCCCUGCUUUUGUGGGGUGCUCGAGUGGCGAACGGGUGAGUAACACGUGAGUAACCUGCCCUUGACUUUGGGAUAACUUCAGGAAACUGGGGCUAAUACCGGAUAGGAGCUCCUGCUGCAUGGUGGGGGUUGGAAAGUUUCGGCGGUUGGGGAUGGACUCGCGGCUUAUCAGCUUGUUGGUGGGGUAGUGGCUUACCAAGGCCUUGGCGGGUAGCCGGCCUGAGAGGGUGACCGGCCACAUUGGGACUGAGAUACGGCCCAGACUCCUACGGGAGGCAGCAGUGGGGAAUAUUGCACAAUGGGCGGAAGCCUGAUGCAGCAACGCCGCGUGCGGGAUGACGGCCUUCGGGUUGUAAACCGCUUUCGCCUGUGACGAAGCGUGAGUGACGGUAAUGGGUAAAGAAGCACCGGCUAACUACGUG
rnacentral:rRNA from 1 species